CCAGACUCCUACGGGAGGCAGCAGUGAGGAAUAUUGGUCAAUGGGCGCGAGCCUGAACCAGCCAAGUCGCGUGAGGGAGGACGGCCCUACGGGUUGUAAACCUCUUUUGCCGGGGAGCAACGGGCGUCACGUGUGGCGCCACUGAGAGUACCCGGAGAAAAAGCAUCGGCUAACUCCGUGCCAGCAGCCGCGGUAAUACGUAGGGGGCAAGCGUUAUCCGGAAUCACUGGGUGUAAAGGGAGCGUAGACGGCUGUGCAAGCCUGAAGUGAAAGGCGGGGGCCCAACCCCUGGACUGCUUUGGGAACUGUACGGCUGGAGUGCAGGAGAGGUAAGUGGAAUUCCUAGUGUAGCGGUGAAAUGCGUAGAUAUUAGGAGGAACACCAGUGGCGAAGGCGGCUUACUGGACUGUAACUGACGUUGAGGCUCGAAAGCGUGGGGAGCAAACAGGAUUAGAUACCCGGGUA
rnacentral:rRNA from 1 species